rnacentral:rRNA from 1 species
ACGCAACCGGCAAGCCGGGUUGGUUUCUUAUCUAAUAAAUACAUCCCUUCCAAAGUCGGGACUUCCUGCAUGUAUUAGCUCUAGAAUUACUACGGGUAUCCAAGUAGUAAGGUACCAUCAAAUAAACCAUAACUGAUUUAAUGAGCCAUUCGCAGUUUCACAGUACAAGUCGCUUAUACUUAGACAUGCAUGGCUUAAUCUUUGAGACAAGCAUAUGACUACUGGCAGGAUCAACCAGGUAGCCCGCGACGAGGAUGCACCCGCAGCGACUGCACGACGCCCCAUGAAACAUGGAACGCCCAACAACCGCACACAAGCCACACCCACGCCCGGCAUUCGACACCAGGCCGACGCAACCACAAACGGACUAGCCGUUCGAGCCGCGACGACCGAGCGAUUCUCGCCGGAGGUGCACAGUACGCACAGGGCGUCCAGGAGACCG